GUGACAUGGAAAACAUGCAGUGUUGGGGGGCCUCCAGGAAACGUUGUUGGGAACCACUGGCACAGUGUGACCAGCAAUGAUCUUAUAGGAUUGCUAAAAUCGUGUAGUGUGUAGAAGGCUUAAAACCCCAUUUUACAGAGAGAUCAUUGUGAGAUCGCAAGUCGGGAGGAGGACAGCUUGAGUGUAUUGCUCGUUGAUUGCUGUUUUAUCGUGUCUGUUCGGAUAUUUGAGCAUAACAAACUCUACUCAAGAACAACAUGUAGCAAAGCCGGGAGAGUGUCUACCUCAAUCAUAUGGAAGUAGAUUGUGUACCAGGUACUGUAACAGUGACUCUCUGUCCCAACAAUGAGAAGCGCUGCAGCAAUGGAUGUGGACGAUACUGUACGGCUCAAUAUACAGCCGGGUCAAUAUCCCAAACCGAAGAACAUUCCAAAGUGUGCUGAAAGCUGUUUCCAUGAUGGCCAGUGUCCUGCCACACAGAAAUGUUGCCCAACCACUAGUUGCCGAGCAUGCAGUGAUCCAUGUGGUCAGGGAGGUUGUCAAAGAAAUGAUCAGGGAAAUAGCGGUCAGGGAAGCGGCCAGGGAAAUAGCGGUCAGGGAAGCGGCCAGGGCCAGGGAAAUAGCGGUCAGGGAAGUGGCCAGGGAAAUAGCGGUCAGGGAAGCGGCCAGGGAAGUAGUGGCCAGGCCCAGGGUAGCGGUCAGGGAAGCGACCAGGGCCAGGGUGGCAGUCAGGCCCAGGGUAGCGGUCAGGGAAGCGACCAGGGCCAGGGUAGAGGCCAGGCCCAGUGUGGUAGUCAGGCCCAGGGAAGCGGCUAUGGUAAAGGAAGCGGCCAGGGAAGCGCUUAUGGCCAGGGAAGCAGUCAGGGAAGCAGCUAUGGUCAGGGAAGUGGUCAAGGUAGCAGUUAUGGUCAGGGAAGCGGCUAUGGUCAAGGAAGUGGCCAAGGUAGCGGCUAUGGCCAGGGAAGCGCUUAUGGCCAGGGCAGUGGUCAGGGAAGGGGUCAAGGCAGCGGUUAUGGUCAGGGCAGCGGCUAUGGGCAGGGAAGUGGUCAAGGUAGCGGUUAUGGUCAGGGAAGCGGCUAGGGUGAGGGAACGGGUCAAGGUAGCGGAUAUGGUCAGGGAAGCGGCUAUGGUCAAGGAAGUGGCCAAGGUAGCGGCUAUGGUCAGGGAAGCGGCUAUGGUCAGGGGAGUUGUCAGGGAAGCGGCUAUGAUAAGGGAAGUGGUCAGGGAAGCGGCUAUGAUCAGGGAAGUGGUCAAGGUAGCGGUUAUGGUCAGGGAAGCGGCUAUGGGCAGGGAAGUGGUCAAGGUAGCGGUUAUGGUCAGGGAAGCGGCUAUGGUCCGGGAAGUGGCCAAGGUAGCGGCUAUGGCCAGGGAAGCGGUUAUGGCCAGGGCAGUGGUCCGGGACGGGGUCAAGGCAGCGGUUAUGGUCAGGGAAGCGGCUAUGUUCAGGGAAGUGGUCAAGGUAGCGGCUAUGGUCAGGGAAGCGGUUAGGGUCGGGGAAGUGGUCAGGGUAGCGGUUAUGGUCAGGGAAGCGGCUAUGGGCAGGGAAGUGGUCAGGGAAGCGGCUAUGAUCAGGGAGGUGGUCAGGGACGCGGCUAUGAUCAGGGAAGUGGUCAAGGUAGCGGUUAUGGUCAGGGAAGCGGUGAUGGUCAGGGAAGUGGUCAAGGUAGCGGUUAUGGUCAGGGAAGCGGUUAUGGUCAAGGAAGCGGCCAGGGUAGUGGCUAUGGUCAGGGAAGCGGCUAUGGUCAGGGAAGUGGUCAGGGAAGCGGCUAUGAUCAGGGAAGUGGUCAGGGAAGCGGCUAUGAUCAGGGAAGUGGUCAAGGUAGCGGUUAUGGUCAGGGAAGCGGUCAAGGAGAUUGUCAGGGAUGUGGUCAUUGAAAUGGUUAUGGCAGUUUUGCAUAACACCUACUGAACAUUUUAAAUUCAGUGCUUUAUUCAUAUGGCAUGUUUUCUGAGAUUAGAGAGGAUUCUGUCACUCUCCACCCCCCUCCUCAAAUAAAAAGAAAUUGCUUGAUUGAAGAGUUGGUGUU
ensembl:lncRNA